UCUCGUGUAUCAUUUGAUUCACAUAACAUGCAAAGAUUAUAAUUUAUAAGGAUAUCCAUUGUAAUCCAUUCAUCCCAUGUAACUUUCACACAAGUUAGUCAAGAAGGAAAUUGGAUAUGUUGCUUCUCUUCCUAGUAGCUAUACCUUUCAUUGUAAUUUUCCUUGUAAAACUUGGAUACACAAAUAAUCAUCCACCAGGUCCCCCUAGGCUUCCACUUGUUGGAAACUUGUAUCAACUAAAUCAAGAAUCCCCUCAUAAAUACCUACGGCAACUUUCAAAGAAAUAUGGUCCCUUAAUGUUCAUGAAACUUGGUUUUUCCCAACUAGUUGUUAUUUCAUCUUCAAGAAUUGCUAAAGAAGUUCUAAAAACUCAUGACUUCGCAUUUUCUAGUAGACCAUCUUAUCUUGGCCAAAGAAAGUUAUCAUACAAUGGUUUGGAUGUCGCCUUUUCGCCUUACAACAAUUAUUGGAGAGAGAUGAAAAAGAUUUGUACCUUACAUCUCUUUAGUCCCAAAAAGGUACAAUCUUUCCGUCCAAUUCGUGAAGAUGAAGUAUCCAGGAUGAUCAAUCGCGUAACAGAACUUGCAUCAUCGUCAAAAUUGGUUAAUCUAAGUGAGAUUAUGUCAUCUCUAUCGAGCAACAUAUCGUGUAUUGUUGGAUUUGGUAAGAGAUAUGAUGAGAAAGGCUAUGAAAGUAAGAGGUUUAGCAAACUUUUAUGUGAAGCUCAAGCUAUGAUCGGAGGUUCCUUUCUCUCUGAUCACUUCCCAAUUUUCGGACGUUGGAUUGAUUGUAUAGUCACAAGAAAGGCUACUCGACUCGAAAAGAUUUACAAUGAGUUAGACUUGUUUUAUCAAGAACUCAUUGAUGAACACCUUAGCUCAACUAGACCAAAAUCAAUGGAUGGUGAUAUUGUUGAUAUGUUAAUUGUCUUAAAAGAUCAAAAUUUAUCAUCGUCGUCUUUGAAUCUCACUUGGGAUCGUAUCAAAGCUGUGCUAAUGGACAUAUUUAUUGCUGGAACGGACACGAAUGCUGCUGCAUUAGUGUGGGCAAUGACAGCUUGAUGAAGGAGGGGGGAAGCGCGAUGAGGAAAUUACAAGAAGGUAUAAGAGCAUUGGUCGGGAAAAAAGGAAGAGUAGACGAAGAUGAUAUCCAAAAUCUCCCCUAUCUCAGGGCAGUUAUAAAGGAGACAUUGAGAUUGUACCCACCCACUCCACUAAUACCAAGAGAAACAAUCGAAAAAUGCAGCAUAGAUGGAUAUGAAAUCAAACAGAAUACUCCAGUUUCUAUCAACGCGUGGGCAAUAGGUAGAGAUCCUGAAUGUUGGGAAAAUCCAUACGAGUUUAUUCCUGAGAGAUUUUGUAAUGUAAACAACAAUGAUAGCAUCGACUACAAGUCAGGGGAAUUUGAAAUGAUUCCGUUUGGAGGUGGUAGGAGAGGGUGUCCCGGGAUUUCACUAGGAGUAGCAACAGUGGAGCUCGCGCUCGCCAAUCUUCUCUAUGCAUUUGAUUGGGAAUUGCCUUAUGGGAUGGUAAAAGAAGAUAUUGAUAUCGAUACUUUGCCAGGUAUGACCAUGCACAAGAAGAAUCCUCUAUGUCUGGUGGCAAAAACCUAUUACAAUAAUAGUUAAUAUAGUCAUGCUUCUCUAUAACAGGGUGAUUUGUUUGAAUAUUUUUCGAUUUCUAUAGGAAGAUGUUGUGAUAGGAGAACAUAUAAUAAAAUAUUGUCAGUCUCACAGACGAUGGUUGUUAUAGAAAAUGUGACUGUAGCUAUCCUCUUUAUGUCAGUACAUUAGAAUAAUUAGUGCACUUUCUAUUUAGUACUUUGUAAAGAAUAAAUAUUGUUCUAUUGUGUAACCUCUUGUUUAUAUAGUAGUAGUUUUGUUGGUA